rnacentral:tRNA from 1 species
GGAGGGACUAGCCGACCGGCGACGGCACCCGUCUCGAAAACGGGCGAGCGACGAGUCUUGGGGGUUCAACUCCCCCUCCUUCCGC